rnacentral:rRNA from 1 species
ACGCUGGCGGCAGGCCUAACACAUGCAAGUCGAGCGGUAGAGAGAAGCUUGCUUCUCUUGAGAGCGGCGGACGGGUGAGUAAUGCCUAGGAAUCUGCCUGGUAGUGGGGGAUAACGUUCGGAAACGGACGCUAAUACCGCAUACGUCCUACGGGAGAAAGCAGGGGACCUUCGGGCCUUGCGCUAUCAGAUGAGCCUAGGUCGGAUUAGCUAGUUGGUGGGGUAAUGGCUCACCAAGGCGACGAUCCGUAACUGGUCUGAGAGGAUGAUCAGUCACACUGGAACUGAGACACGGUCCAGACUCCUACGGGAGGCAGCAGUGGGGAAUAUUGGACAAUGGGCGAAAGCCUGAUCCAGCCAUGCCGCGUGUGUGAAGAAGGUCUUCGGAUUGUAAAGCACUUUAAGUUGGGAGGAAGGGUCGUAGAUUAAUACUCUGCAAUUUUGACGUUACCGACAGAAUAAGCACCGGCUAACUCUGUGCCAGCAGCCGCGGUAAUACAGAGGGUGCAAGCGUUAAUCGGAAUUACUGGGCGUAAAGCGCGCGUAGGUGGUUAGUUAAGUUGGAUGUGAAAUCCCCGGGCUCAACCUGGGAACUGCAUUCAAAACUGACUGACUAGAGUAUGGUAGAGGGUGGUGGAAUUUCCUGUGUAGCGGUGAAAUGCGUAGAUAUAGGAAGGAACACCAGUGGCGAAGGCGACCACCUGGACUGAUACUGACACUGAGGUGCGAAAGCGUGGGGAGCAAAC